GGGCGCCUGGCUGUCUCAGUCGGUAGAGCAUGGGAAUCUUAAUCUUGGGGUCGUGAGUGUCAGCCCUAUGUGGGGC